AUAAGAUGAAAGGAAAGGAUGUAGCUUGAAAGCAGGAUGGAGAACAGCCAGAGGUCCCCACCAAAAACAAAGGAAUGUGACAAGCGUCAGGGCCAUACAGCCUCAGCAUCCCCAGGGCCUGGACAAAAAUAUGGGCAUUCUCCCGUCUUCCAGGCCAGCUUCGUGCCAGCACCAUCCUCUUCCCCUGCCUGCAGCCAUGGCAGCUUCAGUUACAAUAAGGGACCAUUUGUUGGCAAAGGAGGGUGCCGUAGAAUUGGCAGUUUCUGUCCGUUCCCAGGAAAAAGGGACUGCCUGGACAGAGAAGUCUGUAAGCCAACAGUGUCAUGCAGCAGGGUCCAACAGCUCUGCCACCAUCCAUCCAUCCUGAAUCUUAUGUAACCAGCUCAUGUUCUAAAAAAAGGAAGAAAAAAAAAAAAAAAGUAUUUGUUUAAAACACUCUAUUGAAGAACUAUAAACAACACAGCGUGUUAGUUUACACAGACUGAGCAGUGACGGUACAGCGCAAUGUGAGGGUACAAUUCACUCCUGCUUCCCCUCCAGGCUACAGGGAUCUCGGCCUGAUUGUCAGUUUAAAACACAGCAACUAUUUCUGCGGGCUUGUAAACUCAAACUUACGCCAGAGACAGCGGAGCAUAUGGUAAAGACGGACUCCAAAGUAAUGAAGGAGUCCCUCAAAUAUCACCCCGCCUCUUUUCACAAACAGCAGAGAAAGGGGGGGUCAAGGCUUUUUAAGGCACAUUUGAAAAUAAAAAAGAAAGAAAAAAAAAAAACGUGUGCAAACUGAAGCGAGUGAGCUUCCUUCCCAGGCCUGGCUUGCUGCACACUUGUGGACACGAGGGGUGAAGGGGGAGGGAGCCCCUUCACAGCCCAGCAGUCAAGGCUGAGAGCUAUUUGGAUUAGACGAGGAAUUUCAAGUGGAAACCAUCUGAAUGUGUGUGUGCCUGUGUGAAGCUGAACUAUGUUGAAAGAAAACAAAUGACUUCUUAUAGUACCUCUUCGAGGUCCAGUUCUAAAGGGGCAUAAGUAAGCCUCGUUUUUCUUGCCUUAGCAAACUUAAAUGGGACAGAAGCUCCCGUUUUUUUUUCUGUUCUGAAUGCAAAGAAUCAGGAAAAGCCCCUGACAGCAGCGUUAUGAAUGAACUGGCAAGGUACGCUGUAAGUCGGUUUGAUGCUAAACAACAACAAAAUCCAAUUGCAGCCAUUUUAAUAUUUCAGCUUCCUUCUUCACCCCUGCCAGGCUUCCUCAACAUGUGACGAGAAGAAUUCAGAGGGAUGCUUGCCAAGUGCUUCCUGACCCAAAUCCUAGAGGUAUCCUCCAUCUGCAGCAACAGACAGCUCACUGUGGUCUGUCAUUACCUUCUGUUUGGUUUUCAACACCAGCUAUCCUAGCUAAUGAAAGAAGAUGCAACCACUGAAGACAAUGGUCAGACGAAUGUUAGCAGCAUUUCUGGGAAGCUUUGAGGAAGACUCCUCUGCCCUUGCACAGGCCAAAAUAUAGAACAGUAAUAACAGUCAUAACUGAGGCAUGCAUACACAAGCGUGCUGCUUUAGCAAACGAGGUGAGCUCAGCUGCUGUGAAAACAAGCCCUACAAAGUCUGGUGGAGAGGAUUUAGGGACCAGAGAUGAAGGGCAGAGCUAACUGUUCACUUUCUGUCACAGCACCACACCUACCUACCCGGCCCCUAUCUGACGGCAAUAAAUUUCAUUGCCUGAAACGGACAGGCUGUUAGAAAUAUGUUUCCUGUAGGACCGAGACCCAGCCCCACAUCGAUAAUGCUCUUCUAUGUAAAUGUUUGCAUGUGGCCCUUCACAUCUAAGGUUUGUAGCAACGCAUGGUAUUUAGCCAAAUGCCAUUCCCCUAAAGGGCAGCAUAUUUUUGUUCUUAUAAUCUUGCAUGGAAAUUGAAAUGGACGUAUUUUAACAUGGGAAAAGUAAACACGUUUCCCCUCAGCUAGGCACUGCUGUACGGCAGAAGCCACUGUGAUGAUGAUGACAGCGGCCUGAGAUUUUUCUCUGUGGAUUCCUGACUGAGAUUCUGAAACCACCAAGGAAGAAACUUCCCCACAGAAAAGUAAACCCUCAAUUUGACACAGGCACAUGGGCUCUGCACUGGGGAUUGGAUCUACUCAGCCAGACAAUGCAGGAAGCGCUGGCCUCAUCAGCAAAGCUCUGUCAUUUUGUUCGUCAUCAAGCCUCCCUAUUUGAUGUAACAAACUCCCAUUUACCUACCGUGUAAACAUGCUGUACUUAAAAUGCUUGUCUGUGAUAAACCAUUCUCCCCUUUGAGGAUCCAUUAGGCCCAAGAUGAAUCGAGCCUAAAAAGCUAUUUAGAGCUUUUGGAGAAUUCUUUGGAUUUCCAGCUUCACAUUUCAGUUACUGCAAUGUUUGUGUUAAGAUGCUUGUCUGAGUUCUGCCCUGCAGGAUUCAGAAGAAGAAAAAUGUUCCUUUUGUACUGAACACAACCAGUAGGUAUUUAGCUAUUUUUUGUGUAUUAUGACAGUACCAUCUGGCAUUCAUCUGCUGGGUACCUCAAGAGAAUGUCCCCUUCCUACUUGCCUGUAUGAUGCCGGCCAAAAUGAUAGAGUACACCAAAGGUUAACUUCCUGUAAUAUGGUCUCUUGGCUUAUCUUGAAUAAGACAAUAGAUCCUUUAUAUUCUUAACUAUGUGUCUCACAUGUUCUCCUGCCUGCCUGGAAAAUGGGGUCAUAAGAGAUUCUUAUGGGUCAGACACUUCCUAAUGCGAAGCCUGGGAUAAUGCUAGCGAACAUAGUAACAACAAUCUAUAAGGCCAGCUGGCGGUGUGCAUAGAGAAGGAAAUAUGAAAUAGGAAUGGAUAUUUGCCCAGUUAGAUUUGCUCUGUUCCACUGAAAUGCUUUGUACAGUGGAAGAAUAAACAAACCACUGCUCUCAAAAGUCAUGGUUCACCUGCUGACUCAGAAACUCAUGUCUGUCAACCAGCGUGAGAGAGGCCAAGGGGACUAUCUGUUUGGGUUUCUCUUUUGGUCUCAGCCUCAUUUAUCUUGUUAGUUCCAAGA